rnacentral:rRNA from 1 species
CGCUGAGUUUGAUCCUGGCUCAGAUUGAACGCUGGCGGAAUGCUUUACACAUGCAAGUCGAACGGUAGAGGGGGCAACCCCUUGAGAGUGGCGAACGGGUGAGUAAUAUAUCGGAACGUGCCCAGUCGUGGGGGAUAACGUAGCGAAAGUUACGCUAAUACCGCAUACGAUCUAAGGAUGAAAGCGGGGGACUCGCAAGAGCCUCGCGCGAUUGGAGCGGCCGAUAUCAGAUUAGGUAGUUGGUGGGGUAAAGGCUCACCAAGCCAACGAUCUGUAGCUGGUCUGAGAGGACGACCAGCCACACUGGAACUGAGACACGGUCCAGACUCCUACGGGGAGCAGCAGUGGGGAAUAUUGGUCAAUGGGGCGCAAGCCUGAACCCAGCCCAUGCCGCGUGCAGGAAGACGGUCCUAUGGAUUGUAAACUGC